rnacentral:rRNA from 1 species
GACGAACGCUGGCGGCGUGCCUAAUACAUGCAAGUAGAACGCUGAAGAGAGGAGCUUGCUCUUCUUGGAUGAGUUGCGAACGGAUGAGUAACGCGUAGGUAACCUGCCUUGUAGCGGGGGAUAACUAUUGGAAACGAUAGCUAAUACCGCAUAACAAUGGAUGACUCAUGUCAUUUAUUUGAAAGGGGCAAAUGCUCCACUACAAGAUGGACCUGCGUUGUAUUAGCUAGUAGGUGAGGUAACGGCUCACCUAGGCGACGAUACAUAGCCGACCUGAGAGGGUGAUCGGCCACACUGGGACUGAGGCACGGACCAGAGUCCUACGGGAGGCAGCAGUAGGGAAUCUUCGGCAAUGGGAGCAACCCUGACCGAGCAACGCCGCGUGAGUGAAGAAGGUUUUCGGAUCGUAAAGCUCUGUUGUAAGUCAAGAACGAGUGUGAGAGUGGAAAGUUCACACUGUGACGGUAGCUUACCAGAAAGGGACGGCUAACUACGUGCCAGCCGCCGCAGUAA